UACGUAGGCAGCAAGCGUUGUUCGGAGUUACUGGGCGUAAAGGGUGCGUAGGCGGCUUUUUAAGUUUGGUGUGAAAUCUCCCGGCUCAACUGGGAGGGUGCGCCGAAUACUGAGAGGCUAGAGUGUGGGAGAGGAAAGUGGAAUUCCUGGUGUAGCGGUGAAAUGCGUAGAUAUCAGGAGGAACACCGGUGGUGUAAACGGCUUUCUGGACCAUAACUGACGCUGAUGCACGAAGGCGUGGGUAGCAAACAGG
rnacentral:rRNA from 1 species